UACAGAGGGGGCGAGCGUUGUUCGGAAUUACUGGGCGUAAAGGGCGCGUAGGCGGCCACCUAAGUCAGACGUGAAAUCCCUCGGCUCAACCGGGGAACUGCGUCUGAGACUGGGUGGCUUGAAUCCGGGAGAGGGAUGUGGAAUUCCAGGUGUAGCGGUGAAAUGCGUAGAUAUCGGGAGGAACACCUGAGGCGAAGGCGGCCCCCUGGUUGGAUACUGACGCUGAGACGCGAAAGCGUGGGGAGCAAACAGG
rnacentral:rRNA from 1 species